AGUGCGAGUAUAGUAGGUGAAGCAGACACCUCUUCGUCGACAUGUCUGCUUGCUGGUGGGGGCAAUUUCGUCCUUACUGCUCUUGUGCUAUCCAAAUUCCUGUUGUGUCCAUGUAUUGGCUGAUUUGAGUCGUUUAGAGAAAGAUUACAUAGGUAAUUUCGCAAGCCACUUUGACUGCCAUCGCCUAAAUCUCUGCUUUACCAAGAUUUUCCUUCGCAUCUCUCUUUUCGCUUUGUUUAGAUUCCCUUGGCUUCUCCGCUGACGCAUCAAUUUCUGCUAUAUAUUGACAAGAGAUUGUGAUUUUUGCUGAGUUUUUGCAAUUCAAUAUUUGCUCCAUCAAGAUAAUCACAGGGUUAGAAGACCAGCUUGUUUUCUCGGUCGCAAGGCAAAAACACUCUGCUUCCUAAGAGCACGACAACUAUUAGGACCUAAUAUAGCCGAUAGAACUGCAGUUUGUAUAGAUUUUGAAUCAAAUUAUGCAGAUUUUGUUCAACUUUGCUUCACAGUUUGUAAACAAAAGUUUUUUUUUAUGUUAAAUCAAAAAUUUAUAAGCUCCUUGGGCCCGGGCACCGCCCGGGCUACCGCCAACUAGUUCUAUUCUACUUAUAUAGAAGAGCGCACAAGCUCCUCUCCGUUGACAUCCCUGCUUGCCGACGGACGGCAAUUUCGUAUUUGCAGUGCCCUAUUUUAGGUAAAAUUCUUGUUGUGUCCCUACACUAACUGAUUUGUGUUGUUUAGGAAAGACUACUUAGGUAAUUUCGCAAUUAACUGUCACCGCUUAAUUUUGCUCUGCUUUAUCAUAAUACCAUAAUUUUGCUCUGCUUCACCAUAUUGCUUUCUGGAAAAUUGGCCCAUCUUCUCCUUCUUACUCGGUUAACCCUUGUGAUUUUUGCGGUGCUUUUUGCUUCAUAAAUUGAAUCCCAAUUUCUGGAAUGUAAAGUAAUAUUUUUGACUGAAAAUUGAGGUUUUUGCUGAGAUUUUCACAGUUUCACAUUUGCUCCACCAAGAUAAUCAUAUGGCUGAAAGGGUAGUUUUACUGUUCUAUUUCUUCUCCUUCAUAUGGGUGACUCUGAUUAUUUUGUUUCAGGGUUCUUCUUAGUUUAUUGUUCAAAUUUUUGUUGUUUGUGAAACUCAAAGAACAACUUGAAAAGAAACUGGGGUUUCCGCCAAUUAUCCGAUAAUUUUCUAUCUUUGUUUGUAUUCGAAGGUUUUGUCAUUUUUAAAUUAGGGAUUUCAGAAUACAUGAGCCUCUGACUUUCUUAUAUUUGAGCCACAAUUCUAAGUUUCAUCUUGUUCAUCCUGUUUCUUUCUCUGCUUCAUCAUCAGAUUUCGUUUUAUCUCAAGUUUAUCGAUUUCGACAUCAACAAUUAUCAAAGGUCUUUGUGUAAGAAAUUUGGGUCACUGACUUGAACGUUGGCCUGCUAUGUGUUUGUGAAAUUGCCAACUCCAAUUACUUACCCAUCCCAAGCACGUUCACUGAGGAAAAACUGGAAAAAUUGAAAUUGAUGUUCGAUUCACUAGCUGCACAAUUUCUCCUUCUGUUUUAAGGACAAGAGUUUCUUUUGGCAACCGGUUUACGCGAAUUCUUUAUGUUGGAAUACAGGAGAGUGGAGAUCUAUUGGAAUUAGAUUUGGUACAUUAUACCUUUUCCAGAUGUUCUCCAGAUGAGUGCAAAUACGUGUAGCUUUUGAAUUUCCAUGGUUAAGUCUGUUGGCAUUGUAAAGUGAAUUAUAGAAUGUAAAUGAUGAAUUAAAUAUGUUGGAAUUUUUUUCUCUA